ACUAACACAUCUGCAAUUGUCUGGCUAUUGCCUGCAGCUGGCUGCUUUGUGUUGUCCUUGCCUGUAUGACUGGAACAACUGGGGUUCCUCUUCUUCCAGGUUUAAUUCAUGAAAUCCUGCCAUACCUUCAAUACCAAGAUUUAUCCAGUCUAGCACAGUACUCCAACUGUGCAAUGCACCUUUAUAUAUGGAUAACAUCUGGACCCCUCAUCUACCUGUGCCAAAGAAAGAAUCACAGGAGAAUGGAGACCCUCCACGCUAAUGCAAAUAUAUUCCACUUCUAUUAGACCACCCAGGCCAUGGCAUUAACUCCAUGACAUGAAGAAAAUGCAGGAGGAUGAUACUCAAUAAAAUAGGACUUCUAAAGACUGGCAAAAUGCUUCACGAUAUCAUCAAAGAAUGAGAUGUAAUUAAAUCAAGAAUCUCAAGAUGAAAUCAUUCUGGAUUAUCCAAGUGUGUCCUAAAUCCAAAGAAAAA
rnacentral:lncRNA from 1 species